ensembl:lncRNA
GUUGGAUUUUCAAUAGUAAGGUCACUCAGUGCUGCUCAAUAAUGAAGAUGUUAUGAUAUGGAAAACAAAUUUCACAGAUACAGUAUGGUUACUUUUUUUUUUUUUUCAGAAAUGUUUAUUAGACUUUCUCAUUCUAGUCUCUUUUUAUCUUUUAAGCCCUCUGUGUUUCCAGUACUUUAUCUUUCUAUAAUGCCUUCAUAUCUGUCUUCUAGUUCAUGAAUUCUCUUGUCACUCGCUAUAUAAUCUUUUUAAACUAUUCAUUGGAUUUCUCCUUUUAAAAGUUGUUAUUCAUUUCUAGGUAUGUACCAUUCUUCAGGUUUGUCUAUUAUUUGUUUCAUGAUGUCCAGUUUUUUGUUUUUGUUUUUUUAACUUUAGGUUCUGUUUGUAUAUAUUGGGUCUUAUCUUUGGUGGACUGUUUAUCCAUGUAUUUUGUGAUUUUACAAGGUGUACUAAUUUUCAGUAGAACUUUCUCAUGGGAAUCUUGAGUGGCCUGGAUUAAGAAUAAUUCUUUCCAGAAAAGUUUUAUGUCUGGUUAUGUCAUAGUUCCAGGGCUAUCACUGACAGAGGACUACUCUUACUUUAAUUUCUUGGCUCUGACCUGAAGAGAACCAUACACUUACUGAGAGAAGACUACCAGGCCAAAACAGAUAUUUUUCCUCAUUAUGUUCCUGUGCUAGUGGGCUAGUGUAAAGCUGCUUGUGUCCCAACUUUAUUGUAGACACGAGGGGAGAUGCAUUUAAUUAUUGCCCUUUUAAAGUCCUCUUAGAGAUGUUACAGCUGAAUUCAUAGAUUAGUGAAUUUGGCAAGUUUACUCUGGUUUUUAGUUUCCUUCUGAAACUGAAAAAUUUUUGACCAUAAGAAAUUCCUCUUUCUUAUAACUUCUGUUAUGCAUUUAAAAAACAUUUCUUGUACCGUAUAUAGCAUUUCUGUGUGUUUUGUUGGCAGGGAGGGGUUUAGGUAUCAAGUUUGAUAUACAGCUAGAAAUGGAACCCUUCUGUCCACACACUGUCAUUAGACAAACAAGUAAAACUACUGACUUGUCUCUUGGUGAAUAUAAUCCUCCAUCCUUAGGAAGCUGUCCGUAUCUGCAGAGAUUAAGAAAUGGGUGGUUGAGCGUUCUUUUUGUCUGUACCUUAGGUGGUUAUAUAAGCAGUUUCUUGGUAUUUGUUUCUGUUGCCAGUGUCAGGUUUUCACUCAUCUGAUCUCUCUACCUUCUCUUCUCUCCAAAAACAAUCUCAGAACUUUUCGUACUAUAAAUUUCUUAGUUUGAUUUCUGGGAAACUUUUUAAAUUUUCUGUUUUGUAUUUCAAAUUAGAAGCUUAUUGUGAUAUAUAUUUUUUCUUAUAAAUUUCCUAAAUGAAUAUUUAAUAUAUAUUUGUAGUUUUAUUACCAUAGUGAAUCGAAGGAAUGCAAUAAACUUAGAAUGUCUUUAAGAAAGCCUUGAGAAGUAAAAAGAUUUUUAAAAAUUAAAAAAAAAAAACCUUGAAAUAUUGAUGCUUGGAAUAAGAAAUGAUCAGCUAGAUGAUAGCAUAGUGCACCAGACUUCCCUGUCCAUCAACAACUCCCAGAACUUACUCAUAUGUCCAUUGAGUCGAUGAUGCCAUCCAACCAUCUCAUCCUCUGUCGUCUCCUUCUCCUGCCUUCAAUCUUUCCCAGUAUCAGGGUCUUUUCCAAUGAGUCAGUUCUUCACAUCAGGUGGCCAAAGUAUUGGAAUUUCAGCUUUAAUAUUCCAAUGAAUAUUCAGGACUGAUUUCCUCUAGGAUGGACUGGUUGGAUCUUCUUGCUGUCCAAGGAACUCUCAAGAGUCUUCUCCAACACCACAGUUCAAAAGCAUCAAUUCUUUGGUGCUCAGCUUUCUUUAUGGUCCAACUCUCACAUCCAUACAUGACUACUGGAAAAACCAAAGCUUUGACUACACAGACUUUUGUUGACUAAUGUCUCUGCUUUUUAAUAUGCUGUCUAGGUUGGUCAUAACUUUUCUUCCAAGGAGCAAGCGUCUUUUAAUUUCAUGGCUGCAGUUACUCUGUUACCUGUUUUAAAAUAAAUCUUUUUUAAAAAAUAUGCUGACUCAUUCAUUUUAUUCAAAUAUUUUGAGUGUUCUGUGUGGCAGGCAUGGUGCUGGUUCAUAGGGAAACAACAGUAAACUGCUGCUGCUGCUGCUGCUAAGUCGCGUCAGUCGUGUCUGACUCUGUGGACCCCCAUAGAUGGCAGCCCAGGCUCCCCCGUCCCUGGGAUUCUCCAGACAAGAACACUGGAGUGGGUUGCCAUUUCCUUCUCCAAUGCCUGAAAGUGAAA